UGUUCAGGCGAUGCUGGCGGCCAUUUAAUUUCUGGUUCCUUUACUGUCCGCCAUGUCGCUAGUGAACGUGGCGGUUGCAGACAACGUUAUUCAAAUGGCGGGUAUACUGCCGGACGAAAAAAAGAGCUGUGAUGAUAACGAGGAAAAAAUCAUAAAAUGUCCCCCUAAAUCUAAAAUUGGCUAUGUAUAUUCACCGGAAUUAAUUCAUCAAUGUAAUAGAGUACCAAACCUGAAGAACAGGGCCUCAUUAGUUCAUCAUUUGCUGGAAUCUUAUGGACUCUUAGAUCAUGUCUUGCUUUUAAACUGUGAUAAAGUUAAUGAUGACGUCUUUCAAGGAUUUCAUUCUGCCGAUUACAUUGAAUUCCUCAAAGGUGAUGUGGAUGUAGAGGAUGAAUCCAGUGAGGAAUAUGGUUUAGGAUUUGACUGCCCCCCACUUGAGAAGCUUGAUGACUUUAUCUCUGUGAUAGCUGGUGGAUCUGUAGCAGGAGCCAAAGCACUUGUUUCUGGAUCUGUUGAUGUGGCAGUAAAUUUCUGUGGAGGCUGGCAUCACGCUCAAAGAGAUUGUGCAUCAGGAUUCUGCUACAUUAAUGACUGUGUUCUUGCCAUUCUAGAAUUGGAAAGAAAAUUCAAACUUGUGCUUUAUAUUGACUUGGAUAUUCACCAUGGAGAUGGAGUUGAAAAUGCUUUCGCUUACAGCCGCAAAGUGUUUACGCUAUCGUUACAUAAACAUGAAGAAGGAUAUUUUCCGGGUACAGGUUCAGUCAACGACACUGGUUUCGGCAGGGGUCGCAACUAUUCAUGCAAUGUUCCACUCAGAGAUGGGGCUUGCGAUGAAACUUUCAUCCACGUCUUUCAAACAGUUUUCCAGGAAGUAAUGAAACGUUUUCGUCCGGAAGCAAUUGUAUGUCAAUGUGGAGCAGAUGGCCUAGCUAACGAUCCAUUAGGGACAUUUAACUUGACACCCGUUGCAUACGCCCGCUGCACCGCUGUCAUCCAGAGUUACAAAUUACCUACUUUGUACCUUGGCGGAGGCGGUUAUCACAAGGCCAACGCGUCCCGUUGUUUCACUACCAUAUUGGCAGGCCUAAUAGGCGUUCAAAUAUCAUCCGAUAUCCCGGAACACGAAUAUUUCAAUUGGUACGGGCCGAGCUUCGAGUUAGACGUCAGUCGAGGUCUCCGACGGGACGAAAACAGCCCCGACUACAUCCGGACUCUUUUACAACAAGUUUUCGGCAACUUGGAGCAAAUCUCUAGCGAGUCGUGAACGUUUUGAAUCCAUCACAUUUCCCUUCGGGCCAUUAUUGGGAUUUUCGAAGGUUUUUUUCUUCCUUUUUUAACUAUUUAACUACAUUUUCGACAUUUUACAUUAGCCGAUAUCGAAAUGGCUAUGUCAACAUAAACGUCUCCCCCAUUUGAUUGUUUGACGGGCCUUCACUCGGGAACAUUUUGAAAUUUCCGUUGAAUAAAAUUAGACCCAAUGGACUCUCCCCUAAAA